UUUUUUGUUUGUUUUUGAAACAGUCUCACUCUGUCUCCCAGGCUGGAGUGCAGUGGUACAGCGUGAUCUCGGCUCACUGCAACCUCCACCUCCCGGGUUCAAGCAAUUCUCUGCCUCACCCUCCCAAUGUGCUAUGAUGGCACCACUGCUUUCCACCCUGGGGGAAUAAAACAUGCUGGGCAUGGUGGCUCAUGCCUGUAAUCCCAGUACUUUGGGAGGCCGAGGUGAGUGGAUCACUUGAGGUCAGGAGGUCGAGACCAGCCUGGCCAAUGUGGCGAAACUCCAUCUCUACUAAAAAUACAGAAUUAGCCAGGCGUGGUGGCUCAUGCCUGUAAUCCUAGCUACUUGGGAGGCCAAGGCAGGAGAAUUGCUGGAACCCGGGAGGUAGAGGUUGCAGUGAGCCGAGAUUGCGCCACUGCACUCCAGCCUGGGCAAUAGAGUGAGACUGUUAAAAACAAAAAAAAGAUAAACCAGGCAUGGUGGUUCAUGCCUUUAAUCCUAACAGUUUGGAAGGCCGAGGCAGGAUUGCUUGAGUCCAGGAGUUGGAAACCAAUCAGGGUAACAAAGUGAGACCCCAACUCU
rnacentral:lncRNA from 10 species